rnacentral:rRNA from 1 species
ACAUGCAAGUCGAACGAACUUAACCAUUAGUUUACUAUUGGAGCGGUUAGUGGCGGACUGGUGAGUAACACGUAAGCAACCUGCCUAUCAGAGGGGAACAACAGUUAGAAAUGACUGCUAAUACCGCAUAUGCCUUAGAAUCACAUGGUUCAAAAGGGAAAGGAGCAAUCCGCUGAUAGAUGGGCUUGCGUCUGAUUAGCUAGUUGGUGGGGUAAUGGCCUACCAAGGCAACGAUCAGUAGCCGAACUGAGAGGUUGAACGGCCACAUUGGGACUGAGAUACGGCCCAGACUCCUACGGGAGGCAGCAGUCGGGAAUAUUGCGCAAUGGAGGAAACUCUGACGCAGUGACGCCGCGUGCAGGAAGAAGGUUUUCGGAUUGUAAACUGCUUUAGACAGGGAAGAACAAAGACAGUACCUGUAGAAUAAGCUCCGGCUAACUACGUGCCAGCAGCCGCGGUAAUACGUAGGGAGCGAGCGUUAUCCGGAUUUAUUGGGUGUAAAGGGUGCGUAGACGGGAAGUCAAGUUAGUUGUGAAAUCCCUCGGCUUAACUGAGGAACUGCAACUAAAACUGAUUUUCUUGAGUACUGGAGAGGAAAGUGGAAUUCCUAGUGUAGCGGUGAAAUGCGUAGAUAUUAGGAGGAACACCGGUGGCGAAGGCGACUUUCUGGACAGAAACUGACGUUGAGGCACGAAAGUGUGGGGAGCAAACAGGAUUAGAUACCCUGGUAGUCCACACCGUAAACGAUGGAUACUAGGUGUAGGGGAUAUUAAAAUUCUCUGUGCCGCCGCUAACGCAAUAAGUAUCCCACCUGGGGAGUACGGCCGCAAGGUUGAAACUCAAAGGAAUUGACGGGGGCCCGCACAAGCAGUGGAGUAUGUGGUUUAAUUCGACGCAACGCGAA